rnacentral:rRNA from 1 species
GACGAACGCUGGCGGCGUGCUUAACACAUGCAAGUCGAACGGAAAGGCCCUGCUUUUGUGGGGUGCUCGAGUGGCGAACGGGUGAGUAACACGUGAGUAACCUGCCCUUGACUUUGGGAUAACUUCAGGAAACUGGGGCUAAUACCGGAUAGGAGCUCCUGCUGCAUGGUGGGGGUUGGAAAGUUUCGGCGGUUGGGGAUGGACUCGCGGCUUAUCAGCUUGUUGGUGGGGUAGUGGCUUACCAAGGCUUUGACGGGUAGCCGGCCUGGGAGGGUGACCGGCCACAUUGGGACUGAGGUACGGCCCAGACUCCAACGGGAGGCAGCAGUGGGGAAUAUUGCACAAUGGGCGGAAGCCUGAUGCAGCAACGCCGCGUGCGGGAUGACGGCCUUCGGGUUGUAAACCGCUUUCGCCUGUGACGAAGCGUGAGUGACGGUAAUGGGUAAAGAAGCACCGGCUAACUACGUG